GCACCACAAGAACGCGUGGAGCAUGUGGCUUAAUUUGACUCAACACGGGAAAUCUUACCGGGUCCGGACAUACCGAGGAUUGACAGACUGUUAACUGCAACACAAGCUGCUAAGUUUUAAACUUAAUAGCUCUUUCAUGAUUAUAUGAUAGGUGGUGCAUGGCCGUUCUUAGUUCGUGGAGUGAUCUGUCUGCUUAAUUGCGUUUCAAAAUUUAAACCUGAGCGACAAGGUGCUGCUAUCGAAACUGUCUUUGAGUGUGAACUAUAAGUCUUUUGACUUAUGACCAUCACUCUAGACGUUUAUGUUUUGGUGUUGGCCCUUGAUGCUCAUUUGAACGCAACGGACGUGAUUGCAACCCCUUGUUGAGAUUUAUCCGAUCUCUACGUUCACUGAACCACACUCUUUAGCGAGAGCAGUGGGGAUGUGGAUAAACUCGGGGGACUGCUGACUAUAAACUUU
rnacentral:rRNA from 1 species